rnacentral:lncRNA from 1 species
GCCCGGCCGCGCUUACCCGAAUUUACCGCCAACAGCGCCGCCAUCUUGGAGGAGGACUGAGGGAGCUCUCCUGCCCCAGGGAGGACCCCGGGCCGGUGAGCCUGCCCGUGUCGACGCCUGAACACAAAGGCGCCCCGAGGGCCUCCGAGAACCCCAUGCGAAGCUCGAGCAGGUGUACACAAGUCUCCCCAUCCUGCUCUGACCUAGGGCCAUCGAUUCUAACUGGGACCCUUACCGUUAAAAUAAGGCGGGGGCAACCGGUUCGGAGACUAAUCGUGCAGUGCAUCAUGGGACUCGUAGUUUAUUUCUAGUGAGCCGUGAAAUUAACCAGUCUGAAAAAACGUAAAUCCAUGAAAUAAAAAAAGUUCUCCUUACCUUCA